UACGAAGGGGGCUAGCGUUGCUCGGAAUGACUGGGCGUAAAGGGCGCGUAGGCGGCUCAUACAGUCAGGCGUGAAAUUCCUGGGCUCAACCUGGGGACUGCGCUUGAGACGUGUGGGCUUGAGUGGGGAAGAGGGUCGUGGAAUUCCCAGUGUAGAGGUGAAAUUCGUAGAUAUCGAGAGGAACACCUGCGGCGAAGGCGGGUUGCUGGGCUGACACUGACGCUGACAGCGCGAAAGCUAGGGGAGCGAACGGG
rnacentral:rRNA from 1 species